rnacentral:lncRNA from 1 species
AAGAAUCAGAGCUUCAUAGUUCGGAGUAGAAAAUGUUUGUGGGUUGGUUGAUUUUACCUUUGAGAAAAGGGUUUUCGGUGUGAGUCCCUAAGGCGCAAAAAUGAAUUUCAUGGGUUGAUGUUGAUUUUACCUUAUAAAAGGGUUUAUGUAAAAGAGUUGUUUGUGAUUAGAUUGCACCAAAGAGUUGUGGGAAGAGGCGAAUAUUCUAGAUAAACAAGCCAAGCGUCUAAUGUCCAAAAUAAUCAGAGUAAGGGUAUGAGAGCU